AGCAGCCGCGGUAAUUCCAGCUCCAAUAGCGUAUAUUAAAGUUGUUGCAGUUAAAAAGCUCGUAGUUGAAUUUCGGGACCAAUAUGUCGGUCGUGCCUCGGUACGUACUGGCAUCGUUGGUUUCUCCCUUCUGACGAACCAUGAUGUCAUUUAUUUGGUGUCAUGGGGAAUCAGGACUGUUACUUUGAAAAAAUUAGAGUGUUUAAAGCAGGCUCACGCUUGAAUACAUUAGCAUGGAAUAAUGAAAUAGGACGUUUGAUUCUAUUUUGUUGGUUUCUAGGAUCGACGUAAUGAUUAAUAGGGAUAGUUGGGGGCAUUAGUAUUCAAUUGUCAGAGGUGAAAUUCUUGGAUUUAUUGAAGACUAACUACUGCGAAAGCAUUUGCCAAGGAUGUUUUCAUUAAUCAAGAACGAAAGUUAGGGGAUCGAAGACGAUCAGAUACCGUCGUAGUCUUAACCAUAAACUAUGCCGACUAGGAAUCAGACGAUGUUAAUUUUUUAAUGACUCGUUUGGCACCUUAA
rnacentral:rRNA from 1 species